CAGAGUCUUACCACUUCUACUGUUGCCUCAGGAAGAUGGUGGUCCUUCACCCCGUAGUACAUUUUUAAUUCACUGAAUUGAUGUUACAACUCGCCCUGUUUUACAGAAACCUUAUUAUGAACAGAGUUUUUAUGGUUUCAUGUGCUUCACAGUAACUUAUUCAGUAUUGCACCCACACAUGCAGAUGCGAGUCGAGUGCUGCUUGGACGGAGCGGAUGUGAAAGAACAAGAACAGAUGCUUUCUUGUUUCAUUCUGCCAAUGAAAGAUGGAGAUGAGAAGGAACAGAAGACCUAAUGCUCUUUGUGUGCAGACUUAGGGACUGGGUGGUGGAGAGAUGUUGGAAUACAAGCCUUAGGGGUUGUGUGUGAGUGUGUGUGUGAUGGCUCCCAGUGGGUGAGGAGAGCUCGAGUGCCAAAGGAGAGGAAGGGUCUGACGUAAGCCUGCCAAAAACAGCUGCGAGGGAGAGACGGAGGAGGGCGUUACAUAGUGUGCAUGUGAGGGGUUCAAGAGACAGUCAGAGGGAGGACACCCCGUGAGACAGAAGAGGGAGACUUUGGAAGUGGGAGAGAAUGUGUGGAAAAGAAGGUGUGAGAGAUAUGAUUCUGUGUUGGAACUGGACGCUAAGGCAUUGAGGAACAAGGAGACGUCCUUGAGGACAAGGGAAACAUAAAACAAGAAGCAACCUGGACUGAAGACUAAGGAAAAGAAGGGCUAAUAAAGUGUAAGAGGAGAAGGAAAGGAUUUUCAAGGAGGAAUUAAGCAAGUAGAAUGGGUUGUGUUUUCAGCAAGCAGCGUUGGGUUAAAGAGAGGAAUUCCCAGCCCUCGGACCCCCCAAAAACACGAGACCUCACCGAGGAUGCAGAGAUUCUCAGCUUAACAGAGUUGGGGAAGAUGGGUUCACACUCCUUUAAAGAGAGGAACUUCAAGAAGAAACACCACUGUGUUGUCUGCAGACAAGCUCUCGACAGCCAUGGCAUGUACUGCAGAGAAUGUAAAACUGCAGUUCAUAAGAAAUGCGAGGAAAAGGUCUCUGUCCCUUGUGAAGUUAUCUCAGAUCCAGUGAGUAUUAC
rnacentral:lncRNA from 12 species